AGUCACACACACAGGUACACACAAAGGCACAGUUACAGUCACACACAGACAGUCAUCCACGGUUACAGUCACACACAGGCAGACAGUCACACAGUACAGUCACACACAUAAUUACAGUCACACACAGGCAGAAAGUCACAGUCACACACAGUUACAGUCACACACAGUCAGUCACACACAGUUACAGUCACACACAGGCAGACAGUCACACACACACACACA